ensembl:lncRNA
CUAGGGUAGGGCAGAAAUGAAUACAAGGAGAUCGGCAAGCAGGUCACUGAAGUAAUCCCAGAGAGCGCAGAGAGGUGGCAACUGAGGACAACCAGCAGUGGCAGUGGAGAUGGAGAAAUACCAAAUAUACUUGAAAGGUUCUCUCCUACACCACCUACACCACAGGGAUUCAGCCAUGAAAAACAACAACUAACACCCUACGCCCGUGGAGCUUUCAGCUAGUGGGAGAGCUAGUCAACUCUUAACGACAAUGUGUGACAACAUCCCAGAAACAUGACACAGUGGGUAAAGGUGACUUGGAGUGAGGACAAACCAGCAUCUACAUUCUGACUCUGACAUCCAGCCUGUUGUACCUUGGACAGGCAAGAUAACCUCUCUGAUCCUCAGUUUCUGCUGGUGUAAAAUGGUGAAUAUAAUACCAACUUUGAAAGACUGUAAUGAGGAGUAAAGAAAAUAAUGUAGAAAAUUAUCUGGCACAGUACCUUGGACAUAGUAGGUAUUUAAUAAAACUUUCAUACGGUCAUAAUCAAUUAAAAAGUAAAAGCAAAUAGCUAUUUAUUUUUUCUUUUUCUGUCUGACAAUGAUAAGUUUGAUGUAUUUUCAGUCAGCAGGGGCAAUUGUUCAGUUGAUUGAAAUGAUCAAAUUUGUCAGU